GGCCUCCACAAUCACCCGACCUCAACCCAAUUGAGAUGGUUUGGACCGCAGAGUGAUGGAAAAGCAGCCAACAAGUGCUCAGCAUAUGUGGGAACUCCUUUAAGACUGUUGGAAAAGCAUUCCAGGUGAAGCUUGUUGAGUGAAUGCCAAGAGUGUGCAAAGCUGUCAUCAAGGCAAAAGAUGGACGUGGUACCCUCAGGCGUUUGGAAAUUGCUCCCAGGGAUGAACCAGACUUGUGGAGGUCUACAAUUGUUUUUCUGAGGUCUUGGCUGAUUUUUAUUUUAUUUUACCAUGAUGUCAAGCAGAGGCACUGAGUUUGAAGGUGGUGCAUUGCACACUUUUCCAACAUGGAAGGCUCCUACUCAACAACUACCAUUAUCAGCUUCCUUUGUGUCUAAAAGAUGAGCGAGUAUGGGGAUGUGGCAGGAGCAGUUGAUGGAUGUGGCAGGAGCAGAACUCUGUGUCAAGGUCUUUAGUCAUUAUGAUUAGUCCCACCUCUGGCACUUGUCACUUCAGGUAGGACAGGGUAACGAGAGAGAGAGAGAGAGAGAGAGAGAGAGAGAGAGAGACAGAGAGACAGAGAGACAGAGAGACAGAGAGACAGAGAGACAGAGAGACAGAGAGAGAGAGAGAGAGAGA
rnacentral:lncRNA from 1 species